rnacentral:rRNA from 1 species
AUUGAACGCUGGCGGCAUGCCUUACACAUGCAAGUCGAACGGUAACGCGGGGCAACCUGGCGACGAGUGGCGAACGGGUGAGUAAUGCAUCGGAACGUGCCCAGUAGUGGGGGAUAGCCCGGCGAAAGCCGGAUUAAUACCGCAUACGACCUAAGGGUGAAAGCGGGGGAUCGCAAGACCUCGCGCUAUUGGAGCGGCCGAUGUCAGAUUAGGUAGUUGGUGGGGUAAAGGCCUACCAAGCCUACGAUCUGUAGCUGGUCUGAGAGGACGACCAGCCACACUGGGACUGAGACACGGCCCAGACUCCUACGGGAGGCAGCAGUGGGGAAUUUUGGACAAUGGGCGCAAGCCUGAUCCAGCCAUGCCGCGUGCGGGAAGAAGGCCUUCGGGUUGUAAACCGCUUUUGUCAGGGAAGAAAUCUUCUGGGCUAAUACCUCGGGAGGAUGACGGUACCUGAAGAAUAAGCACCGGCUAACUACGUGCCAGCCGCCGCGGUAAUAC